UGGGGAAUUUUGGACAAUGGGCGAAAGCCUGAUCCAGCCAUGCCGCGUGAGUGAAGAAGGCCUUCGGGUUGUAAAGCUCUUUUAGUCGGAAAGAAAGAGUUGCAAUGAAUAAUUGUGAUUUAUGACGGUACCGACAGAAAAAGCACCGGCUAACUACGUGCCAGCAGCCGCGGUAAUACGUAGGGUGCGAGCGUUAAUCGGAAUUACUGGGCGUAAAGGGGGCGCAGGCGGUCUUACAAGUCAGAUGUGAAAGCCCCGGGCUUAACCUGGGAAUUGCGUUUGAAACUACAAGGCUAGAGUGCAGCAGAGGGGAGUGGAAUUCCAUGUGUAGCAGUGAAAUGCGUAGAGAUGUGGAAGAACACCGAUGGCGAAGGCAGCUCCCUGGGUUGACACUGACGCUCAUGCACGAAAGCGUGGGGAGCAAACA
rnacentral:rRNA from 1 species